GAUGAACGCUGGCGGCGUGCCUAAUACAUGCAAGUCGAGCGAACAGACGAGGAUCUUGCUCCUCUGACGUUAGCGGCGGACGUGUGAGUAACACGUGGAUACCCUACCUAUAAGACUGGGAUAACUUCGGGAAACCGGAGCUAAUACCGGAUAAUAUAUUGAACCGCAUGGUUCAAUAGUGAAUGACGGCGUUGCUGUCUCUUAUAGAUGGAUCCGCGCCGCAUUAGCUAGUUGGUACGGUAACGGCUUACCAAGGCAACGAUGCGUAGCCGACCUGAGAGGGUGAGCGGCCACAUUGGAACUGAGACACGGUCCAGACUCCUACGGGAGGCAGCAGUAGGGAAUCUUCCACAAUGGGCGAAAGCCUUACGGAGCAACGCCGCGUGAGUGAUGAAGGUCUUCGGAUCGUAAAACUCUGUUAUUAGGGAAGAACAAAUGUGUAAGUAACUAUGCACGUCUUGACGGUACCUAAUCAGAAAGCCACGGCUAACUACGUG
rnacentral:rRNA from 1 species